rnacentral:rRNA from 1 species
GGCGGGACACGUGGUAUCCUGUCUGAAUAUGGGGGGACCAUCCUCCAAGGCUAAAUACUCCUGACUGACCGAUAGUGAACCAGUACCGUGAGGGAAAGGCGAAAAGAACCCCGGCGAGGGGAGUGAAAAAGAACCUGAAACCGUGUACGUACAAGCAGUGGGAGCACGCUUAGGCGUGUGACUGCGUACCUUUUGUAUAAUGGGUCAGCGACUUAUAUUCUGUAGCAAGGUUAACCGAAUAGGGGAGCCGAAGGGAAACCGAGUCUUAACUGGGCGUUAAGUUGCAGGGUAUAGACCCGAAACCCGGUGAUCUAGCCAUGGGCAGGUUGAAGGUUGGGUAACACUAACUGGAGGACCGAACCGACUAAUGUUGAAAAAUUAGCGGAUGACUUGUGGCUGGGGGUGAAAGGCCAAUCAAACCGGGAGAUAGCUGGUUCUCCCCGAAAGCUAUUUAGGUAGCGCCUCGUGAAUUCAUCUCCGGGGGUAGAGCACUGUUUCGGCAAGGGGGUCAUCCCGACUUACCAACCCGAUGCAAACUGCGAAUACCGGAGAAUGUUAUCACGGGAGACACACGGCGGGUGCUAACGUCCGUCGUGAAGAGGGAAACAACCCAGACCGCCAGCUAAGGUCCCAAAGUCAUGGUUAAGUGGGAAACGAUGUGGGAAGGCCCAGACAGCCAGGAUGUUGGCUUAGAAGCAGCCAUCAUUUAAAGAAAGCGUAAUAGCUCACUGGUCGAGUCGGCCUGCGCGGAAGAUGUAACGGGGCUAAACCAUGCACCGAAGCUGCGGCAGCGACGCUUAUGCGUUGUUGGGUAGGGGAGCGUUCUGUAAGCCUGCGAAGGUGUGCUGUGAGGCAUGCUGGAGGUAUCAGAAGUGCGAAUGCUGACAUAAGUAACGAUAAAGCGGGUGAAAAGCCCGCUCGCCGGAAGACCAAGGGUUCCUGUCCAACGUUAAUCGGGGCAGGGUGAGUCGACCCCUAAGGCGAGGCCGAAAGGCGUAGUCGAUGGGAAACAGGUUAAUAUUCCUGUACUUGGUGUUACUGCGAAGGGGGGACGGAGAAGGCUAUGUUGGCCGGGCGACGGUUGUCCCGGUUUAAGCGUGUAGGCUGGUUUUCCAGGCAAAUCCGGAAAAUCAAGGCUGAGGCGUGAUGACGAGGCACUACGGUGCUGAAGCAACAAAUGCCCUGCUUCCAGGAAAAGCCUCUAAGCAUCAGGUAACAUCAAAUCGUACCCCAAACCGACACAGGUGGUCAGGUAGAGAAUACCAAGGCGCUUGAGAGAACUCGGGUGAAGGAACUAGGCAAAAUGGUGCCGUAACUUCGGGAGAAGGCACGCUGAUAUGUAGGUGAAGUCCCUCGCGGAUGGAGCUGAAAUCAGUCGAAGAUACCAGCUGGCUGCAACUGUUUAUUAAAAACACAGCACUGUGCAAACACGAAAGUGGACGUAUACGGUGUGACGCCUGCCCGGUGCCGGAAGGUUAAUUGAUGGGGUCAGCGCAAGCGAAGCUCUUGAUCGAAGCCCCGGUAAACGGCGGCCGUAACUAUAACGGUCCUAAGGUAGCGAAAUUCCUUGUCGGGUAAGUUCCGACCUGCACGAAUGGCGUAAUGAUGGCCAGGCUGUCUCCACCCGAGACUCAGUGAAAUUGAACUCGCUGUGAAGAUGCAGUGUACCCGCGGCAAGACGGAAAGACCCCGUGAACCUUUACUAUAGCUUGACACUGAACAUUGAGCCUUGAUGUGUAGGAUAGGUGGGAGGCUUUGAAGUGUGGACGCCAGUCUGCAUGGAGCCGACCUUGAAAUACCACCCUUUAAUGUUUGAUGUUCUAACGUUGACCCGUAAUCCGGGUUGCGGACAGUGUCUGGUGGGUAGUUUGACUGGGGCGGUCUCCUCCUAAAGAGUAACGGAGGAGCACGAAGGUUGGCUAAUCCUGGUCGGACAUCAGGAGGUUAGUGCAAUGGCAUAAGCCAGCUUGACUGCGAGCGUGACGGCGCGAGCAGGUGCGAAAGCAGGUCAUAGUGAUCCGGUGGUUCUGAAUGGAAGGGCCAUCGCUCAACGGAUAAAAGGUACUCCGGGGAUAACAGGCUGAUACCGCCCAAGAGUUCAUAUCGACGGCGGUGUUUGGCACCUCGAUGUCGGCUCAUCACAUCCUGGGGCUGAAGUAGGUCCCAAGGGUAUGGCUGUUCGCCAUUUAAAGUGGUACGCGAGCUGGGUUUAGAACGUCGUGAGACAGUUCGGUCCCUAUCUGCCGUGGGCGCUGGAGAACUGAGGGGGGCUGCUCCUAGUACGAGAGGACCGGAGUGGACGCAUCACUGGUGUUCGGGUUGUCAUGCCAAUGGCACUGCCCGGUAGCUAAAUGCGGAAGAGAUAAGUGCUGAAAGCAUCUAAGCACGAAACUUGCCCCGAGAUGAGUUCUCCCUGACUCCUUGAGAGUCCUGAAGGAACGUUGAAGACGACGACGUUGAUAGGCCGGGUGUGUAAGCGCAGCGAUGCGUUGAGCUAACCGGUACUAAUGAACCGUGAGG